CGCUAUUAAGAAAAAUAGCAGUGUUUGUAAAUAACAAAUGCCUCUAUUUUCCAUACUUUAAUGGCAUUUAACUUUUAAACGCCACUAUCAAUUAAAUUUUAGUGGCGCUUACUGCAUCAAAAGCCAUUAAUUUUUUUCCCAAAAUUAAUCUCCCCAACUCUAUUCUCUUUCGCGUUUUUAUUCUUUCCUCCUUGUCUCCUUCUCUCAUGUUCUGUUUUGUUUUCCACUCUUCCCAAAUUGCUGGCCUCCCUUCAUCCAUUCCUUCCUUCCUUCCUUCCUUUAAUUCUGUUCCCUUUCUAUAAUACCCAUCACCCAGUCACUGAAAACCCAUUAUGCCCUAGCCUAUUUUUCGGUCCUUUCUGCUUAACCAACUCAGUUGGCCCAUGCGGCCCGCUUAGGAAGCCGGUGCCCAUUCCUUAUUAUUGCCGAAAAUUAUUGUAAGGUUUCAGGUUUAAGCUUUUAAUAUUAUGAGCCUUAUUAUCAGUUGGAGUAUUUAGGGUUAACGGUGAAAGCAUAAGAGAUCUUAGGGACUUUCCUUGGGGGAUGACAAAUCCUUUAGGUUUUCUUGGGUUAAUGGCCGAAAAUCAACUUGGGGUAGAGCUUUUUGUGAGUGAGUUUAAUUUAUUUGUUUGCUUAGUUAAAUAGGAAUGUGCCCUCUUCUUCUAGGGGAUGAAAAAUCCUUUGGGUUUUCUUACCUUUCAGAGCCAUCAAGGGAUUUGUCUGUCUGAGAAAGGUGCUUUGAUUGGUUAAAAAAUUUGUUUGUCUUUUUUGGUCAUCCUCUUAUGUUUAAGAUACUAUAUUUGGAAUGAAGUUUUAUUGUAUAUAAUUUGCAUCAAAGUUGAUUUAUUGAUAUAAUUUAGAAUGAAGUCUUAUUUGAUAUAAUUUGCAUCUAAGUUUUAUUUGAUAUGUUUGUCUUUCCAUAAGGUUGAGAUAACAGUAGAUGCGGACUAUAUGCUUAAAUCUGAUAACAUGGUUUUGACAAAAUUGUAUAAAAUAAUGUUAAGUUCUAAAAUGGAAAGAGGUGAUGGUCUAUCACCAUAAUUGUGGUGAUAUGUGCCAAAACUCCAAAAACAUUGUGGGCACUUCAUUUUCUCAAAAGUUGAUCUGUGUGGAUGGGUGCUUGUGUGCGUUUGCAGGGGGAAGGACCUAAAGAAUAUGUGUGAUAGCAUUUGUGGCCUCUUUCACUUUUUCUGCUUUUAAAUGAACUAAUUGUUGAUUCUGUGUAUGAACCUGCAUAUAAUUUUGCUAUUGCUCUACAAAGGAGAAAGCAAAGAGAUUAUUAUCUUAAAUAAUCUCCAUAUUCUUCCAGCAUCUUUAUCAUGAUUAAGGAGUAGACUUCAUGACUAUUAGCUUGAGCAUUACAUUUUUUAUUUUGGAUGAACAUGUUUUUUUUUUAUCUAAUAUGGCUAAGUACUCUUUAGUUUGGAUGCUUUGAAGGUGACAAUAUUUAGAAGAGUGGAAAACUUUUGGUUUAUUAUCCUUCGGUGUUACAUUUGGUACUCAACUUUAUAGUUGGUUGCCAAGGAAACAUUGGAAAACAAAAAUCUGUCCCUGAAGUUAGGAUCUUCAAACAGGUAAGUGCCCACAUUGUGUGGUUGUAAGCAUGGUAAGCACACGAAUGUAAAUUAUUCAAUAACAUAAUUCUAGGCUUCAUCUUGCCUGAUUAAUCUUUAUGUAUAAAUAACAAAAAUUUGAAAUGACAUAGAUUUAUUCUAUAAUGUCAUAAGAAAUAGGUUUAAGUUCAUUUUGAUGUGCAAGUAUGAUAUGUUUCUCACCCAUUGAUUUCUCAAUUCUAGAAAAGCUUUAAGCAUCUAAAUCAUACCAAUCCUAUGAGCUUUCAAUGUGCUUUUUGGAUUCCUUUAUUACUAACAAGAGUUAACAUGGUUUGAUUACUAACAAGAGUGAACAAGGUUUGGGGUAGGCUAAAUGUGCUAUAAAAUUUGUUUUUCAUAUGAUUUGAUGCCUUUUGUUAAUGCAAAUUCUUAUCAUUAAUUUCUCAUGAAUGUAUCAGGAUCUUAUGAAUAAUUACCAUUCUCCUCUUUGUUUGUUCACAAAUAAUCUAAUUAUUAUGAUUCUUGUGCUCCAUUCCUUGUUUUUGUAAACCUUAGAUUUAGAGUUUUUAAAAUAUUUGUUGUGAUGGAAAUUGCCCUCUUGUUUUGAGGUAUUGUAUUGUACUGUAUUUUUUAUAAUUUUGUUGAAAUUGUUGUCUGUGAAAUAUUAUAAAAUUAUAAAUGUUUCAAGUUUACAAUAAGAGGCUUCAAUGCAAGAACCACAAAUGCCUUUUACCUCUUGCCAUUGGUGUGCUUCACGAUUAAGUUUUAUUAUUUGUAUUUCUUCUGUGUAUUGGGUUAGGCAAGAAAACUAUAAGAUUAGGCUAAUGCUAAAGAAAGUGAAUUGCAUGGCACCUAUAUCAUGUCUGCUGUAAAUGGAUUAAUUGGCAAGUGUAAGAGAGAAGAAAAGCUCAGAUGGUAUACGUUCUUUCCUGUGAGUGCUUUUCUAGAAGGCAAAUGUGCUAAUUGUGAGUUUCAUUAUUGCAUAGGUGCCAAUGAUACUAAGAUGAAUCAAAAGCCUCGUAAAUGUCAUGAAUUAUGUAAGCGAACCACAUUGUUCAGGCAUGCAUCAAACUGCAAGGCAUUAUUGAUUCUUUAUUCUUUAUGUAUUUGGCAGAAGAUUAUUUGUCGUAUACUAAUUUCCUUAACUUUCUGUUGUUAUUAUCAAUAAUCAUCAUAAUUGCUUUUAUUUAUUUAAAUCAUUAACUUGUUG
rnacentral:lncRNA from 1 species